rnacentral:rRNA from 1 species
UACGGGGGGAGCAAGCGUUGUUCGGAUUUACUGGGCGUAAAGGGCGCGUAGGCGGUCAGCACAAGUCAGUUGUGAAAUCUCCGGGCUUAACCCGGAAAGGUCAACUGAUACUGUGCGACUAGAGUGCGGAAGGGGCAACUGGAAUUCUCGGUGUAGCGGUGAAAUGCGUAGAUAUCGAGAGGAACACCUGCGGCGAAGGCGGGUCUCUGGGCCGUAACUGACGCUGAGGAGCGAAAGCGUGGGGAGCGAACAGG